GCCUGCUCACACCCAGCCAGGGGCGUCUCCGCUAGAGCGGGGAAGGUGACUUCCGCCAACACACCUGGUGGGGCACCAUCUUAUUUAUUUCCUUUCUUUACUUGUCCUUUGUUCCACAAAGGAUUUAAAGCAGUGUUUGGCAAAGAACUUGAUGACUGACAGAGGAGAUAAAAAUAUUUUAUUUACUGGGUGUUCCCUUUUUAAAAUAAGAAGCAGUGGAGUUUUGACGCUAUUUUUAAAUAGCCAGAAAGCCCAUUGGAGAAUGGACUGAGCGGUGUCGUUUUAAGUGGUGGGGGGAAAAAACGAUCAGAAUCUCCUCCUGGGCUGCGGCUCCUCAGAAGUCGUACACCGAGUUCCUCUGGACAGCUGGCAGGCCCUGGGCGAGGCCCUGAUCCGGCCAGCGGGAGGGGCCUGGUCUGCUUUCACCAAAUACGGUUGCAGGUUAAGGCUGCCCUCCGUGCCACUGCUGGAGGCACUACGUGGGAAAGAACCAAGAGUGGUUUUUUCAUCAGGACUUCCUGGUGGUCCGUGCGCAUUCACAAUGCACAUGAAGUACGAGUUUACAGUGCAGACGUGACGGCCGUUUCGGCCAAAGAAAGACCCGGGAGGCCUCCUGGGUUGAAUGAUUAUUGCAGAAGGGUGAAGGGCAUCUUAAAUGAAACCCACAGGACACAUCUGUGAACUUUUCAGCUCACCCACUUGAUUUUGCACAUCUGAGCAGCUUGUCAACUGACACCUCACUUCAGAUUUUACAGCUUCUUCUGCUGUUUACAGACUCCUGUGUGAGCCACGCCUGUGGUGUGUGCCUGCAGGGGAGGGGUGGCACCCAGAGGAGACUCCCAUGAUGAAGAAUCAGAGUAUUUUAGACGCUCCAUCCGAAAUGUCACUGUUUAGAAUUUUACGAAUUCGGCACCACUUCCUUAUUUUUUAUUUUUUAUUUUUAAACAAGGGCAUCUUUGCCAUUUGAGUUACAAUCGUUUCAUUAUUGAAUUAUGGAUUAACCCGCAGCUCAACAUCGUUCUUUGUUUUAUUCUCUUUUUAUACAAAUUCUAAAAUGGAUUCAUUAGAAGAAGAAAAAAAAUACCAAAUAUAGUUUGUUGUAUUCUCUUUUGAAUUUUUACUAACUUUUAUCCAGCUGGAAAUAAUAUCAAUAAAAGAAAAU